rnacentral:rRNA from 1 species
AUUGAACGCUGGCGGCAGGCCUAACACAUGCAAGUCGAACGGUAACAGGAAGCAGCUUGCUGCUUCGCUGACGUGUGGCGGACGGGUGAGUAAUGUCUGGGAAGCUGCCUGAUGGAGGGGGAUAACUACUGGAAACGGUAGCUAAUACCGCAUAAUGUCGCAAGACCAAAGAGGGGGACCUUCGGGCCUCUUGCCAUCGGAUGUGCCCAGAUGGGAUUAGCUUGUUGGUGGGGUAACGGCUCACCAAGGCGACGAUCCCUAGCUGGUCUGAGAGGAUGACCAGCCACACUGGGACUGAGACACGGUCCAGACUCCUACGGGAGGCAGCAGUGGGGAAUAUUGCACAAUGGGCGCAAGCCUGAUGCAGCCAUGCCGCGUGUAUGAAGAAGGCCUUCGGGUUGUAAAGUACUUUCAGCGGGGAGGAAGGGAGUAAAGUUAAUACCUUUGCUCAUUGACGUUACCCGCAGAAGAAGCACCGGCUAACUCCGUG